ensembl:lncRNA
CUUGGGUAUCCUCUGUUAGAAAAAAGAAGUGUCCAGUGCUGGGGACUGAACCAGUCUCAGUGAUGCUAAGCACCUGCCCUUCAAUGAGUAUGAGGCAGUGUGUCUUUUUCCAUUUGCUAUCUCAGGAAAGCAUAAUUAAAUGCAGCCUGAAAGGAUGCCAGUAAUUGAUUUGAGGCAUGGUUAGGUUGAAGGAACUUGUGACAUAAGUGACAGACACCAGAUGGCUCCACCUCAUUAGAAAUCAGUUUCCUGGAGUUCGAGCAAGAGAAGAUAAAGUGGUUCUGGGGUGAGAGACUGGAAUCAAACCACACCCUGAAAGACAGGUGACAUGGGCUUGCGAAGCUGAUUUACUUGCUUCCUGAGGUAUUCCUUGUGAUAAGACUCUAGGAGAUGAGAAGUGGGCGCUGCCAUGUGGCAAUCAACAUCCCUGUCUGGAUAAUUUACAUUUGAAAGCAUUUCUUUGGAGCUGUUUGCUUUUGGAAGGGAGUGCCCAGGACUUUUUACUGGACUGUUUACUGGCGGAAGAUCUGUCCUGUGACCAAAUUACUCCUGUUUGCUAUGGGACAUUAGGGGAUACCAUGGUAGAAGCUGUCACUCCAAAAGGCUGACUCAACCACUUUGGACUUAUAAAUAAGUUUGUACUGCCAUCGCAAUCAUUGUCGUUGUUCUUGCCAUGGUCGCUGUCGUCACCAACGGAACAACACCCAAUGACCCACCUCUACUGAAGAUCGACAACUGAACCAUGAACCACGCUGGAUCCAUGGUGGUGACUAUCUCCCUCUUGCUUCCUAUAGAGACUCCUUGCUCCUAUUUCCUAUCUUUUCUACUGCCCUUCUUCUCUUCCCCAUCACCCUAAUUUGCACCUAUCAAGACUCCUUGCUUCUAUUUUCUAUCUUUUCUAUCAUUCCCCUUCCCUUCCGCAUUACCCCAAUCUGUAAUUGUGUCUGUCCUCCCCUUCUCCAUCUCCCU